rnacentral:lncRNA from 1 species
CAGAAAACAGUGCGUAUGCACGCGCGAGAAAAGGAAUUGCGGGUGCGGCAACACCGAUCCUUCCGCGUCCAACACGACUAGAAUUGCGGAAGUACGAAAAAGGUUGUUGCGCAAGUUAUAUAGGGUUCCAGUAUAAAACAAUAUGUUUGGAGAGAAGUGCGCAGGUUGUAGUUGUUAGUUGCAGGCUAGCGCACGCAGCCUUUUUUCGCCUAAAACAAUUAAAGCAACAAAAAGAAGGAAAAACAGAAAACGGAAUGCGCGAAAAUGCUACAGCCUGUAAUAAACCUUGAGUAAAUUAAACGAGCCACUUGACAUAUAAAAGGCCUUACGGAGGAGGGGAAAUUCACAAACAUUUACGAAACAAUAUAAGCUAUAGAUAUCGAAAGAGAGGAAGCGCCUUUGAAAGAGAGACAUGGGUUCCAAGGCACAUGUAUGCACAGUAUACCUGUUGUUGCUGUUUGCUUUUACCAGCGAAGCUCUGCCCAAUACCUUUGAUGUCACGAAAUAUGGUGCCAAGGCAGGAUCGGAUAUCACUAAGGUAUGGAAGUAAAUUCGAUUCUCGAUAUCGCGA